GACGAACGCUGGCGGCGUGCUUAACACAUGCAAGUCGAACGAAGUGGCGAACGGGUGAGUAAUACGUGAGUAAACUGCCCUCCUUUUUGGGAUACGCCUUGGAAACGGGGUCUAAUACCGAAUAAAGGGGGAUGGGCUCGCGGCCUAUCAGCUUGUUGGUGGGGUGAUGGCCGACCAAGGCGGUGACGGGUAGCCGGCCUGGGAGGGUGACCGGCAAGAUUGGGACUGUGAUGGGGCCCAUGCUGCUACAGGAGGCAGCAGUGAGGGAUAUUGCAAAAUGGUCGAAAGCAUGAUGCAACGACGCGGCGUGGGGGAUGAAGGCUUUCGGGUUGUAAAGCUCUUUCUCUAUCGAACUGGUCGGUGGAAAAAAAGCGCCGGCUAACUCCGUGCCAGCAGCCGGGUAAUUC
rnacentral:rRNA from 1 species